AAUGACCUACGGGAGGCAGCAGUGGGGAAUAUUGGGCAAUGGGCGCAAGCCUGACCCAGCAACGCCGCGUGAAGGAAGAAGGCUUUCGGGUUGUAAACUUCUUUUCUCAGGGACGAAGCAAGUGACGGUACCUGAGGAAUAAGCCACGGCUAACUACGUGCCAGCAGCCGCGGUAAUACGUAGGUGGCAAGCGUUAUCCGGAUUUACUGGGUGUAAAGGGCGUGUAGGCGGGGACGC
rnacentral:rRNA from 1 species